UGUAAGCGUAUACCAAAGUUGUUGCAGUUAAAACGCUCGUAGUCGGAAUUUGGCAGUUCCGGAUGUGUGCACGUCGUGUGCGCACUUCGCGGGGAUUGCUUUUGUGGUCUUGCGUAGGAUGAGGCACUUUUAUUAGUGAACGUCCUCACGCAACCACUUUUUACUGUGAGAAAAUCAGAGUGCUCAAAGCAGGCAUUUGCCGUGAAUGUAUUAGCAUGGAAUAAUAGAAUAGGACUUGGUUCUAUUUUGUUGGUUUGUUGGGACUGAGUAAUGAUUUAGAGGGACAGUUGGGGGCAUUUGUAUUUCGGUGCUAGAGGUGAAAUUCUUAGAUUACCGAAAGACAAACUGCUGCGAAAGCGUCUGCCAAGGAUGUUUUCAUUGA
rnacentral:rRNA from 1 species